rnacentral:rRNA from 1 species
GUGGGGAAUAUUGCGCAAUGGGGGAAACCCUGACGCAGCGACGCCGCGUGAGCGAAGAAGGCCUUAGGGUUGUAAAGCUCUGUUUUAAGGGACGAAUGUCGUGGGGAGUAAUAUGCUCUGCGAAUGACGGUACCUUAAGAGGAAGCCCCGGCUAACUACGUGCCAGCAGCCGCGGUAAGACGUAGGGGGCGAGCGUUGUCCGGAAUUACUGGGCGUAAAGAGCACGUAGGCGGGAACUUAAGUCAGGUGUGAAAGACCGGGGCUCAACUCCGGGGGUGCACUUGAAACUGGGUUUCUUGAGGGCAGGAGAGGAAAGCAGAAUUCCUGGUGUAGCGGUGAAAUGCGUAGAAAUCAGGAGGAAUACCAGUGGCGAAGGCGGGUUCCUGGCCCAUGACUGACGCUGAGGUGCGAAAGCCGGGGGAGCGAACGGGAUUAGAUACCCUAGUAGUCC